rnacentral:rRNA from 1 species
AGUUCGGUCCCUAUCUGUCGUGGGCGCAGGAAAUUUGAGAGGAGCUGUCCUUAGUACGAGAGGACCGGGAUGGACGUACCGCUGGUGCACCAGUUGUUCCGCCAGGAGCAUGGCUGGGUAGCUACGUACGGACGGGAUAAGCGCUGAAAGCAUCUAAGCGUGAAGCCCCCCUCAAGAUGAGAUUUCCCAAUUAGUAAGACCCCU